rnacentral:ncRNA from 1 species
CGUCUUCAGGGCAGGGUGUGAUUCCCGACCGGCGGUAAAGUCCGCGAGCCUCACGGCAUGAUCCGGUGUGAUUCCGGAACCGACAGUACAGUCUGGAUGGAAGAAGAUG